rnacentral:lncRNA from 1 species
GGAAGACCCUGCAGACCGGGCCUUGGGGGAGCAAUGACGCAGCUGUCGGCCAAUGACGAGGAUCUGGAGGAGAGGUCGGAGAGUGAGGGGAGCGACUACUCCCCAACAAGAAGAAGAAGAAGAAGCUCAAGGACAAGAAGGAGAAAAAAGCCAAGCGGAGAAAGAAGGACGAAGAUGAGGAGGACAAUGAAGACGGGUGCUUAAAGGAGCCCAAGUCCUCGGGGCAGCUCAUGGCUGAGUGGGGCCUGGACGACGUGGACUACCUGUUCUCAGAGGAGGACUACCACACACUGACCAACUACAAGGCCUUCAGCCAGUUCCUCCG